CUAUUUACCUAGUGCCAAGAACUCUAUGAUUAGGAAGGCGGAGACCCCAGGAGGAGGACUUCCCAUUGCACUUUGGAAAAGCUGAGACCUGCCACUCCCCUAAAGUGGGAAAGGUGAGGCAUGUGAUUUUUGGUAGAUUUUGCUAUUUAUCAUACGAAUU
rnacentral:snRNA from 13 species